rnacentral:lncRNA from 1 species
CAGACUCUAACAUUUGCCAGGCGCCAUCCUGACUUGUUUACAGACUCUAACAGAGUCCCAUAGGAUGGAAGAUGGGGAGAAAGAAUUUCUGUUUGCUAGGUCAGCUCCAGAGCCUUUCUGUUAUGCGAAAUCAAGGGAACAGACAUGAAGCUGGAAGAUAAAAACUGUGUGGGACUGAGUGAGGGUGGAAGAGAUAGGUUUGGGGAAAAGCUUAUCCAGGUGAAAAAUGUUGAAUAGGAGAAAUGAUUUAAGUGUCACUGGACUACACUUGGAAUAUGCUCCCACUCCACCCCUCCCCCUGCCUGUAAUGUUUAUUUGAGAAAGGAAAUCAAGAUUUAAAUAAUUUUAGUAGUUUAUUUAUUUAUUUGUUGACCCUGGGGGUGCUUAACUACUGAGCCACAUCCCCAGCCCCUUUUAAAUUUUAUUUAGAGAAAUGGUUUUGCUGAGUUGCCUAGGUCCUCACUAAAUUGCUGAGGCUGGCUUUGAACUCACCAUCCUUCUCAGUCACUCAGAUUACAGGUGUGUGCCACCAUACCCAGUAUAAAUAAGUUUACAGCUUAUUAUUAGUUUGAUUUCUAAAA